UGGAUUUUAAACUUAUUUAAGUUAUGAAAUGGGCUACAUCAAAAACUCACCCAAAAACUAACUUGCAAACACUCUUAUUAGAUGAACAAAAGCAGAGACGAAUAGAAACAUGAAAUAUGUACAACACAAAAAAUAAAAUAAGAGAAACUAGUAUGGUAUUACUUGAUCCAAGACCAACUUUAAAGACCGAAUUGGAUAGUACUCAAUCCUUUCAAUAUUCAUGGCCCGUUUAUUUUCGACACAUGUAUUAAGGAGAGUUAUAUUAAAAGAAAAAUUAUAUGACACACAUGUUUAAUGCCAUUAUUAAUUUAUUUUAAAUAUUGUUAAUAAAGGAACCCUCUCUUCCUCCAAUAUUAUGUUGCCGUCGCCGCUCUCAACACUGGCGAGGCCGGCGCCACCGCCUCCCCUUCGUUUGUACUAGUCGUCUCCCUCCAUCCUACACACCAUCAUUCAAACAACCAACAAUUCUCGUAAUAAAAAGACCCAAAAACGAAAAUAACAAUUAAAAAAAAUAAGUCUUUCAACAAAACUAAAAACACACUAGUUGAGAGAAAUUAACAUAGACGAGGGAUGAAAUGCAGAAAAGUACAAGAUAGAAAUCUUUCAACAAAAUUAAAAGUAAAGAGAAAUUUUGAAAGGCUCAUCCGGUGAAAUUAGAGGCAACGAGUCCGGUGAGCCCUAAUUUCUAGCUAGGGUGGAGGCAAGCGAUACAUUGGAGAAAAAGAGAGGCACCAAGAACAGUAGAGAGGGGAAGCGGCCGACAACGAGAAGCAUGUAGGAAGAGAGCGGUGAAUGAGAGAGAAGACAAUGGAGGAGAGACGAGAACAGUGGAUGAGAAGGGAGGCGGUAGAGGAGAGAGAGCGAGUGUGCAAAGUGACAGGUGGAUUAAGUGAAUGCUAAGCAAACCCUAAUUAUUACCUAAAAUAGAAAUAGAUCAUGAAUAUUAAGACAACUUAAACAAAAAAACAAACCAUAAAUAUUAGGACGGAGGAAGUAUAAAAUUUGAGACUUGUUCGAUUAUCUGUUGUUUCGAUUAUCAACCUUAUUAGAUAUUACUCCUUCCGUCCGCCAAAAGUAGACCACUUUGGCUGGGCACGAGAUUUAAUAAAAUUGGUGAUAAUUUUGAUGUAGUGGAGAAAUGGUCCCACCAUUGUAUGAGAUGUGUGGUUGAGAUUGAAUUUGAGGUGAUUUUUUUGUAAAUAAAAAGUGUUUGUAAGGAUAAAAGAUUAAAGUGGAUGGUGAGACCAUUUCUAUAAAAAGACAGUGGUAUACUUUUUGCGGACGCCCGAUAUAAUAAAAGUGGUCCACUUUUGGCGGACGGAAGGAGUAGUAAUUUUUUGCUUGGGACUCGUACAUGAUCAUUAAGUUUUAUUAGGUAUUUAGACUAAACAAAGAAACUUCAAAUUUGAUUUACAAUUAAUUUUUUAAGAAAUUGUGAAAUUAAACCACACACUUGCUAAAAAACAAGUGUUAAUGCGUAAAAAAUACUCAUAUUUAAAACUUCUGAUUAAAAAUGUCAACUUUUAUAAAAAAAACUUGAUUCUAUGCCCAAAUUAAAGUGAAGAGUCGAAAAUUACCCUUGUAUGUUAAUGACUUUACAUCAUUUUUUGUGUAAUAUCUUACACUUUUUUUACAUAAAUGUGUAACAAAAGUGUAAGAAAAAAAUAGAUUGUUGUCGAAAAAGUAGGUUGUUGCCCGGGCAACAACCCACUUUUCUGACAACAAGUUAUUUUUGUCUUGCAAGUACAUUGAUUGAGACAUUAAGUGUAAUUUAGUCAAUUUGUGUAUAAACACAAUAAUUUUAUAAAGGUGGACAUUUUUCAUUACAACUUAACAAAAAUGAACAUUUUAAUUUUUUACUCAAAAAAUAAAGCAUGCUGGAGUAUUGUGUACUCGGCUUGAUUUAUGGUCUACAAAAAUGAUAAAUUAAGCUGCUAAUUACUCCCUUUUCAUAUCCUUGAAUAUACUCUUUUCGUCUUAAUUAUAUAAGCUGA
rnacentral:lncRNA from 1 species